AGUGCAAAGAAGUAUCCAAUCAGUGUAAAGAGCAGUUAAUUCCAGGAGCAAGAAAUGAGACAGAAGUAUGGGAACAAAUCUGCCAAAACUCAGACAUCGCAGAAAAGUUCUGUGACUGCAUUGGAGAUGGCGAAGAGAAGGUAGAGAUGAGCGAAGACGAUAAGGAAAAUAUGAAGGAAUUCAAGAAAUGUGCUAUCAGAUUCUAUGAAGCAUACUGCCCAAAAUAGAUAUGACUCCAAUAUCAUAAAGAAGGCUUUUUAUAUCAAGAUAAAAUUUGCAGUAAUAGAUUAGAUUGCAAUCUAGAAUUUUCCUACUUUUUUAUGCAUAAAUUUGUGAAAUAAAAGCCUUUAAAAAUUG